rnacentral:rRNA from 1 species
AGAGUGAACGCUGGCGGUAGGCCUAACACAUGCAAGUCGAACGGCAGCACAGUGGUAGCAAUACCAUGGGUGGCGAGUGGCGGACGGGUGAGGAAUACAUCGGAAUCUACCUUUUCGUGGGGGAUAACGUAGGGAAACUUACGCUAAUACCGCAUACGCCCUUUGGGGGAAAGCCGGGGAUCGCAAGACCUGGCGCGGAUAGAUGAGCCGAUGUCGGAUUAGCUAGUUGGUGAGGUAAUGGCUCACCAAGGCGACGAUCCGUAGCUGGUCUGAGAGGAUGACCAGCCACACUGGAACUGAGUCACGGUCCAGACUCCUACGGGAGCAGCAGUGGGGAAUAUUGGACAAUGGGCGCAAGCCUGAUCCAGCCAUACCGCGUGGGUGAAGAAGGCCUUCGGUUGUAAAGUCCCUUUGUUAGGAAAGAAAGCAAUCGGUUAAUACCCGGUUGUUCUGACGGUACCAAAGAAUAAGCACCGGACUAACUUCGUGCCAGCAGCCGCGGUAAU